UUCCAGACUCCUACGGGAGGCAGCAGUGGGGGAUAUUGCACAAUGGGGGGAACCCUGAUGCAGCGACGCCGCGUGGGUGAAGGAGCGCUUCGGCGCGUAAAGCCCUAUCGGCAGGGAAGAAGGAGGACGGUACCUGACUAAGAAGCCCCGGCUAACUACGUGCCAGCAGCCGCGGUAAUACGUAGGGGGCAAGCGUUAUCCGGAUUUACUGGGUGUAAAGGGGGCGCAGACGGCAGCGCAAGCCAGGAGUGAAAGCCCGGGGCCCAACCCCGGGACUGCUCUUGGAACUGCAUGGCUGGAGUGCGGGAGGGGCAGGCGGAAUUCCUGGUGUAGCGGUGAAAUGCGUAGAUAUCAGGAGGAACACCGGCGGCGAAGGCGGCCUGCUGGACCGCGACUGACGUUGAGGCUCGAAAGCGUGGGGAGCGAACAGGAUUAGAUACCCUAGUACA
rnacentral:rRNA from 1 species